AGAGUUUGAUCCUGGCUCAGGAUGAACGCUGGCGGCGUGCUUAACACAUGCAAGUCGAACGAUGAACCUCCUUCGGGAGGGGAUUAGUGGCGAACGGGUGAGUAACACGUGGGCAAUCUGCCCUUCACUCUGGGACAAGCCCUGGAAACGGGGUCUAAUACCGGAUACGACCACCGACCGCAUGGUCUGGUGGUGGAAAGCUCCGGCGGUGAAGGAUGAGCCCGCGGCCUAUCAGCUUGUUGGUGGGGUGAUGGCCUACCAAGGCGACGACGGGUAGCCGGCCUGAGAGGGCGACCGGCCACACUGGGACUGAGACACGGCCCAGACUCCUACGGGAGGCAGCAGUGGGGAAUAUUGCACAAUGGGCGAAAGCCUGAUGCAGCGACGCCGCGUGAGGGAUGACGGCCUUCGGGUUGUAAACCUCUUUCAGCAGGGAAGAAGCGAGAGUGACGGUACCUGCAGAAGAAGCGCCGGCUAACUACGUGCCAGCAGCCGCGGUAAUACGUAGGGCGCAAGCGUUGUCCGGAAUUAUUGGGCGUAAAGAGCUCGUAGGCGGCUUGUCACGUCGGAUGUGAAAGCCCGGGGCUUAACCCCGGGUCUGCAUUCGAUACGGGCAGGCUAGAGUUCGGUAGGGGAGAUCGGAAUUCCUGGUGUAGCGGUGAAAUGCGCAGAUAUCAGGAGGAACACCGGUGGCGAAGGCGGAUCUCUGGGCCGAUACUGACGCUGAGGAGCGAAAGCGUGGGGAGCGAACAGGAUUAGAUACCCUGGUAGUCCACGCCGUAAACGUUGGGAACUAGGUGUUGGCGACAUUCCACGUCGUCGGUGCCGCAGCUAACGCAUUAAGUUCCCCGCCUGGGGAGUACGGCCGCAAGGCUAAAACUCAAAGGAAUUGACGG
rnacentral:rRNA from 1 species